UGAGGAAUAUUGGGCAAUGCCCGCAAGGGUGACCCAGCAACGCCGCGUGGAGGAUGAAUGUCGUAAGAUUGUAAACUCCUGUUAGAGGGGAAGAAUAGUACCGGUUGGACCGGUAUAUGACUGUACCCUCAGAGAAAGCCCCGGCUAACUACGUGCCAGCAGCCGCGGUAACACGUAGGGGGCAAGCGUUGUCCGGAUUUACUGGGUGUAAAGGGCGCGCAGGCGGGAUAAAAAGUCAGUGGUGAAAUCCUACAGCUUAACUGUAGAACUGCCUUUGAUACUUUUAGUCUUGAGUUCGGGAGAGAGAGACGGAAUUCCAGGUGUAGUGGUGAAAUACGUAGAUAUCUGGAAGAACACCAGUUGCGAAGGCGGUCUCUUGGUCCGACACUGACGCUGAGGCGCGAAAGCGUGGGGA
rnacentral:rRNA from 1 species